AAAAAAAAAAAACAAAUUUUCAAAAAAAUCGAUCAUGGAUUAAAAAAAAAAAAUCACAAAUUUUCAAAAAAUUCUAUCAUGGAUUACAAAAAAAAAUUCGGUCGUGGAUUAAAAAAAAAAAAGUACAAAUUUUCAAAAAAUUCUAUCAUGGAUUACAAAAAAAAAUUCGAUCAUGGAUUAAAAAAAAAAAUCACAAAUUUUCAAAAAAUUCAAUCAUGGAUUAUAAAAAAU
rnacentral:lncRNA from 1 species